ACAUUUUGCCUGCGUCGGAAAUGCCCUGAUCAUGAAGGGGGCUUUCCCGAUCUGAGGCCGUCCAUUGCACUUGGGGCGGUUGACGGUUGUCACCACUGCAAAUAGCAGUGGCUGGGGCGCCUAAUUUUUGGACUCGGGACUGCGUUCGCGCUGCUCCCGG